GGAACCAGACAAGAAACGACAGUCCCAGGGGAACGUCACGGCGCAGUCAUCCCCACACAUGCAAAGGUCCCUUCUGGUUGUUUUUUUUUUAAACUCCCCUUUGAAAUUUCAAAUUCCAGUUUGUGGACAAAGUCCUGCCUAUCUGAGAAUAUAGAUCUCCAGCCACUGACCAAACUCCAAGCAGUCCCGAGGGCUGCGUUUCCCCUUGCCCACGCGUGUCUCUGCUCUGCCAGGAUCACACCACCACUUUUGCAGCAGAGCAGAGCACUCCAAUGUGCUGAACGUGGAUUUUGUGCCUUUCAGCCCUCACUUCAGCAGCUUCCUUCCUGAAGGCGGAAUGGGGACGGCCAUCUGUAGCGACCAGGAGUGUGACUGAAUAACCUGGGCUGUCCCUGAUGUCCUCAAUCUUCUGACAGAACAACGGCCAGAGGAGCAAACAGGAGGAACCACCACCAGGAGCUCACUGGUGGCACCUGCAGCCCAUGGACACCACGGCAGACACCUCUGCAGCACUCCUGCUUACUGCCACGGAAAUGAAAGGCUGCAGCAGCACGCAAGGUGUGGCCGUGUCUGAAUGCUCUGCGUGCAAGUUGUGCACUCCCUGGGCAGCCCAGGGGAGGGGACCACUCAUCUCAACAGUCCCCAAAGCCACUCUGCCAGGACACUGCAGCACCCACUGCUAACGAGCAGCAUGACAAACUGCUAAUUCCGCUUUAAGUUUUUGACCUAUGUCUCCAAGAGAGAAUAAUAAUGUUAUUAUUUGUCCCUUAGCACUACUGCAUGGCUCAGUGCCAUUGGCCUCUUCAGCCAUAAAGAAAUUAAAAUAUAGUAUGACCAUAAACGA